AACGAACGCUGGCGGCAUGGCUAACACAUGCAAGUCGAACGAGAUCUUCGGGUCUAGUGGCGCACGGGUGCGUAACGCGUGGGAAUCUGCCCUUUGGUUCGGAGUAACAGUUGGAAACGACUGCUAAUACCGGAUGAUGACGAAAGUCCAAAGAUUUAUCGCCAGAGGAUGAGCCCGCGUAGGAUUAGCUAGUUGGUGUGGUAAAGGCGCACCAAGGCGACGAUCCUUAGCUGGUCUGAGAGGAUGAUCAGCCACACUGGGACUGAGACACGGCCCAGACUCCUACGGGAGGCAGCAGUGGGGAAUAUUGGACAAUGGGCGAAAGCCUGAUCCAGCAAUGCCGCGUGAGUGAUGAAGGCCUUAGGGUUGUAAAGCUCUUUUACCCGGGAUGAUAAUGACAGUACCGGGAGAAUAAGCUCCGGCUAACUCCGUGCCAGCCGCCGCAGUAAGAC
rnacentral:rRNA from 1 species